GACGAACGCUGGCGGCGUGCUUAACACAUGCAAGUCGAACGGCAAGGCCCUGCCAUCGCGGGGUGCUCGAGUGGCGAACGGGUGAGUAUCACGUGAGUAACCCGCCCUUGACUUUGGGAUGACUUGAGGAAACUGGGGCUAAUACCGGCGAGGAGCGCCUGAUGCAUGGUGGGGGUUGGACAGUUGCGGCGGGUGUGGAUGGACUGGCGGGUAAUCAGCUUGUUGGUGGGGUAGUGGCUUACCAAGGCUUUGACGGGUAGCCGGCACGGGAGGGUGGCCGGCCACAUUGGUACUGCGGUACGGCGCAGACUCGUACGGGGGGCAGCAGGGGGGAAUAUUGCACAGUGGGCGGAAGUGUGAGGAGACAGCGCCGGGUGCGGGAUGACGGCUUUCGGGGUGAAAACCGCUUGCGCCUGUGACGAAGCGUGAGUGACGGUAAUGGGUAAAGAAGCACCGGCUAACUACGUG
rnacentral:rRNA from 1 species